rnacentral:rRNA from 1 species
ACGGGUGAGUAAUGUCUGGGAAACUGCCUGAUGGAGGGGGAUAACUACUGGAAACGGUAGCUAAUACCGCAUGACCUCGUAAGAGCAAAGUGGGGGACCUUCGGGCCUCACGCCAUCGGAUGUGCCCAGAUGGGAUUAGCUAGUAGGUGAGGUAAUGGCUCACCUAGGCGACGAUCCCUAGCUGGUCUGAGAGGAUGACCAGCCACACUGGAACUGAGACACGGUCCAGACUCCUACGGGAGGCAGCAGUGGGGAAUAUUGCACAAUGGGCGCAAGCCUGAUGCAGCCAUGCCGCGUGUGUGAAGAAGGCCUUCGGGUUGUAAAGCACUUUCAGCGAGGAGGAAGGGUUCAGUGUUAAUAGCACUGUUCAUUGACGUUACUCGCAGAAGAAGCACCGGCUAACUCCGUGCCAGCAGCCGCGGUAAUACGGAGGGUGCAAGCGUUAAUCGGAAUUACUGGGCGUAAAGCGCACGCAGGCGGUUUGUUAAGUCAGAUGUGAAAUCCCCGAGCUUAACUUGGGAACUGCAUUUGAAACUGGCAAGCUAGAGUCUUGUAGAGGGGGGUAGAAUUCCAGGUGUA